rnacentral:rRNA from 1 species
UACAGAGGUCCCGAGCGUUGUUCGGAUUCACUGGGCGUAAAGGGUGCGCAGGCGGUCGGAUAAGUCUGAUGUGAAAUCCCGGAGCUCAACUCCGGAACUGCAUCGGAUACUGUCCGGCUGGAGGAAUGGAGGGGAGACUGGAAUUCUCGGUGUAGCAGUGAAAUGCGUAGAUAUCGAGAGGAACACCAGUGGCGAAGGCGAGUCUCUGGGUCUCUUCUGACGCUGAGGAACGAAAGCUAGGGGAGCAAACGGG